AACGAACGCUGGCGGCAUGCCUAACACAUGCAAGUCGAACGAGACCUUCGGGUCUAGUGGCGCACGGGUGUGUAACGCGUGGGAACCUGCCCUUAGGUUCGGCAUAACUCUCCGAAAGGGGUGCUAAUACCGGAUCAUGUCUUCGGACCAAAGAUUUAUCGCCUUUGGAUGUGCCCGCGUUGGAUUAGCUAGUUGGUAGGGUAAAAGCCUACCAAGGCGACGAUCCAUAGCUGGUCUGAGAGGAUGAUCAGCCACACUGGGACUGAGACACGGCCGAGACUCCUACGGGAGGCAGCAGUGGGGAAUAUUGGACAAUGGGCGAAGGCCUGAUCCAGCUAUGCCGCGAGAGUGAUGAAGGCCUUAGGGUUGUAAAGCUCUUUUACCCAGGAUGAUAAUGACAGUACCGGGAGAAUAAGCCCCGGCUAACUCCGUG
rnacentral:rRNA from 1 species